GGGCGGAGGCGCAGGCCAGUCGCCCUCGGAGGGGACGACGCCGUUGAGUGGCCCGGGCCGGGACGCUGGCGGGGACAGCGAGAAGCGCACGUGAGCCCGGGGAUUAGAGCUGUGGUCGAGAGCGCGGUUCCGGCGUCAGGAGGGGGUCGAUGAAGGUCGAUUGUCGGAUCAGAGCUGGUUCUAGAAACAUCCCGCGGCGGAGCGCAGGGCGGAGCGGAGCCGGGAGGCCCAGGGAGGAAAUGGCUGAAGUCGUCCGGGCCCAGAGUUUAACCAUCACUCCACAACGAAGCCCAAAAAGCACUACCCGCACCUGCGUCGCGCGCGCUUCACGGGCUGUUCCUGCAACACGGCGUUUGUGGCAGCACUCACCCACGUGCCAGGCCGUGUCCUCGGCACCUCAUAACUCCGGGGGUCAGGCACCCCAGGCUGAAGCCCAGUGCCUCCAACUCAGAAGAGCGAGCCGGGAUUUGAACCCAAGCAGACCGAUGCGAGUCCAUUCUAUAUACCUCAGUCCUCUUUCUUUUUGCUAAAGUAAACUAGAUUUAAGGAGAAAAAAUCAUUUGACGUUGUAUUAGGCAAAGGUACGAAUCAAACUGGGACUUCCAGGUAUUUCUCAAUGUAAAAAACACACCGAGACGCCAGAGGUGAGCUGCCUUCUCACCGUCACCACUGGUUCCUGGCCAGGGCAGACUCCGCCCUAAUCCCCAGGCCGGCACACCACGCGGCCCCACCUCUCUCUGUUCAGCCUCACAGAACUGCCAACAAUAGAUACUGGGUUAUCAGCAGGACUCCUGAACACAGCCCUCUGGAAGACGGCCAGUAAACACUGGCCCACGUUUCCUUGUCUUCUUCAAACCCUUGUGUUAGGUUUCCACGUGAGGGCUGUGAACUAGAAGCCGGGACAAAAGGCCAGCAAGACACAAAGAUCAUGGCCCAGCAGACAGGCCAAUGAGACAGGAUGAGGUCAUCAGUCGUUCACAGGUGAUGCUAGGUUUCCUUUUUAAUGCUCCAUUGUGCCCUACUGAGGGAAACCGCUGUCUGAACAGUAAGACACGACAGAUGCCUAACCUGCUUCCCAGCUCCAUCCCCGUGUGUGUGUAGCCCAAGAACAGGGAGACCAUCACUCUCACCUCUAACACGAAGGCUUCUACCUUGGAGGUACCAUUUCCCUCUUCAAGGGGGCAGGAACAGUCUUACAAGUCACUUACUAUGUAAGACCAUGAAAUGAAUGAUGCAGCUGUACAACCAAGGUGAGAUCCAUGCUUUAUGAACACAUUAUUCUCACACGUCCCAGUGACAGGCUUAAUACACAAGAUUCUCAGUUCAUUUUACAGACUCUGGAACCAAGUUGUUCAAAAGAUGAAUUCUGAAACCAUGGUUGGUGUAGCAAAUUAAUAUAUCAAAACAAACAAAAACUUCAAAUAUUUACAUUUAAAAAAGACAUUUAAAAAACAGGCUACUUAUUAAGUAAGUGUGCUUGAACAAACCAUGUGUGGAAUUGAAUUCCAUUCAUUAUGGAGUUAGUUUCUGUUAAACACUGACACUACAGAGACCCCUGGCAUCUGAGGACUUAAAAAUUUAAGUGUUCCCAAUCUAUGCUAAAAAAUAAAAUAUGACAUAAUUUCCGUGCGCUAAUUUGAACCUCAGAUAUGGAAGGUCUAAUACAUAUAAGGCAGAUUACUCAGGAGUCAGAAGGCCUGGCACUUGCAACUCAGCGUGGCUUUGCCAUUGCCGAAGUAUCACCAGGAAUUCAAUAAAAUGCUCUGUAGAGGUCAUUUAAAUUUUUUGAUUACACCUUACUUCAUUAUGUCCUAGUAAUUUCACAAAUUUGGACAUUCACAAAAAUGUUUUGAAAUAUAUCAAUAUUCCUUGAGAAGGUGGAGGGUCUCCUAUAUUACAUCAAAUAAAAACCAUGCGGUUUCUUAGAGCUCACAGAGCUUUCCAAACUAAACUACUGAUCAUACAGCCCAAUUAAAAACUCAAACACUUUAUAUUACAGGUAUAGAAAGUUUAUAGCUCAGCACUGCCAAUAUAGUUAAUUUGACACCUUAGCCCUACUUGCAAAGCGGUUAACAGCUUUACAGUAACUUGUUUUAUCGUCAUUGUCUUUGGCUCAGAUGUUUAAGGACUUAAGCAACUUGGAAAGGUUUUUCAUUUGUGUUGUUUCAUUUUUUUGUGUGGGCACGGGUGCAGGUGGGGAUUAUAGUAAAGAGGGGUCAGUUCAUUAUAAUGAAGACAGAUCAGGAAUUAAACAGCUACUAAAAUUUCACUUACCAUUUCCUUACAAAAUUACGUGGGAGAAUAUGACUUGAAGACAGAGGGAAAAGCCUCGGAUGUGUUCAUACUGUUUUACUCUGCUGCUUAUCCAGCCUGACAAUAACGCCGAACUUAAUUUACUACCUAGGGCAAGGGCAACUAAGAGGGAUUUUAUGAAGCCCAAUUAAUUUUGGUUCUGAUACCUUAAGUGCUUAAAAUUUUGGAGUUCUUCAGAUUAACUUGGAAAAAAAAAAAAUCAACAACCAAAAUACCCCAAAGAAAGAUUAGAUAAAAAACAAUUGGUUAACCAUUAAAAAUUA